GACGGGGGAUGCAAGCGGUAUCUGGUAUCACUGGGCGUAAAACGUCUGUGGGUGGUGAUGCAAGUCACUGGUGCAAAACUCUGGCUCAACCGGAGGAAAGCCAGUGAAACUGCAUGACUAGAGUGUGGGAGAGGUAGAAGGAAUUCCCUGAGUAGCGGUGAAAUGCGUAGAUACAGGGAAGAACACCGGAGGCGAAAGCGAUCUACUGGAACACAACUGACACUGAGAGACGAAAGCUAGGGGAGCGAAUGGG
rnacentral:rRNA from 1 species